UAAAAGGGCCUUUGCUGUCACUAGCACUUCAUGAGCUAUCAUGGAGCAGAAUCAUAAUCAAGAGAUUUUGGAUGCAGAAUUGUUGCAAUUCAAGAUAAUUUUGGAGCAACUUAAACUGCUAUUAGUUUUGCUCAUAUUGCCUGG